ACUUUGUUUAGCGCAGCGGGACGAAAGUUGCCACUUUCCGCCCGGAGGGCAAAAAAAUAAGUUAUUUUAAAGUUUACUAACAACUGCUCUAAUUAAGAGUGAUAACAUGCACAAAACUCGUCACAAAUAUUUAAACUCGUUCUAACAACAGAAUUUAUUUUUUUGAGUUGAUGAAAAAUUAGUUUUUAAUUAGUAAUCGACGGCUAAGAAAGAUUGAAAUUAAAUUAUUAGAAGCUUGUCGAGUACAUGUACUAUACGUAACAUUAAUUUAUCCCUGUUCGUGUUGCUUUUGUAUUAUUGGAAAUGAGUAUUUUUGGACAUUUGAAUAAAUGGAUAUGGAAAUUUCUCAAAAUGGACAUUUGAUUUUUUGGAAAUAAUAAUAAAAGUACUUAAGUAAAAUUAGACAUUAAUAUAAAUGGGCAUUAAUAAAAAAGGAAAUAAUUAUAAAUGUACAACUGCACUGAUGGCCAACUUAAAACAAUGAAAUCCCUAUUUUCGAAAAUUUUAUGUCCUGUGAGGUUACUAGAUUCGCUGAUGAUGACACCUCGUGGACAAGUGGGUUGUUUAUUGUCACGCGGAAUUUUAUUUUAUAAUUUAAUUUGAAAUAUACUUAAAAAUGACUGAUUGAGAUUGUGUGGCAAGGUAUGAUUUUAAAUGAUAAGAGUUCAAUUGAACUUAAUGUUGAUGUUUAUUUAGAAAUCGGAGAGAUGGAGUGAAUAGUUACAGCUCUCGGGGAGAAGUGAAGUCACAAAGUCUCAACUCUGACUGCUCAGCUUCACGUUCUCCCACUAUGGUUACACGUAUACACCUAUACUAUUGCUAGAACUACCCUUAUACAUAGUGCGUAAUAUACUAUCUUACAUGUACUUAUAUAAACUUAUUUAUAUAUAACACUUAUUAUUUGCGGCUGCGGCCGGCUUACAUAUUCAUGUACCUGUAUUUACCUGGCUUUAAAUUCAGCACAGCGACUUAGGGAAACCGCAGAAAACCUGGUCGAGGCUUUUAAGGUAUUAUCUGCUCAAUAAAUUAUAUCAGAUGCGGAA